rnacentral:rRNA from 1 species
GACGAACGCUGGCGGCGUGCUUAACACAUGCAAGUCGAACGAUGAAGCUUGAGCUUGCUCCGGUGGAUUAGUGGCGAACGGGUGAGUAACACGUGAGCAAUCUGCCCUUGACUCUGGGAUAACUGCGGGAAUCUGUAGCUAAUACCGGAUACUUUCACUGGAAGGCAUCUUCUGGUGCAGCCAGAAUUUCGGUCAAGGAUGAGCUCGCGGCCUAUCAGCUUGUUGGUGAGGUAACGGGUAACCAAGGCGACGAUGGGUAGCCGGCCUGAGAGGGUGACCGGCCACACUGGGACUGAGACACGGCCCAGACUCCUACGGGAGGCAGCAGUGGAGAAUAUUGCACAAUGGGCGCAAGCCUGAUGCAGCAACGCCGCGUGAGGGAUGAAGGUCUUCGGGUUGUAACCUCUUUUAGCAGGGAAGAAGCGAAAGUGACGGUACCUGCAGAAAAAGCACCGGCUAACUACGUGCCAGCCGCCGCUGUAA